CGCCGCCCCAGCCCGCGCCGCCCUGGCCGCGCCCGCCCCGUCCCAUCUCGUUCCAGCGGGGCGCCGCGGUUCCUGGGUCAGCGGCCGCCGGGGCCGGGCUGAGAGGUGCGGAGGGCAGAGCCCGCGGGCGGGUUACCGCCGGGCGCCGGAGACCGGAGAGCUGGGGAAAGCGGCGCCGGCCCUGCGCCCCCAGCCGACCCGGGCGCGGGGCGCCACGGGCGUGGGGCGCGGGGCAGCGGGCGCGGGGCGGCGCCGGCCCCGGGCGGCUCUCCCACUAGGGGUAGCUGUUGCCUGAACGCCGGAGCGCUCCCCUCUCGCCGCUUGCCUCGCCCAGCGCAGCCCCGGCCGCUGGGCGCACCCGUCCCGUUCGUCCCCGGACGUUGCUCUCUACCCCGGGAACGUCGAGACUGGAGCGCCCGAACUGAGCCACCUUCGCGGACCCCGAGAGCGGCGGCGCGACUCACCGCGGAGGCGCCCGGACGCGUCAAUGUCCCCCAGGGCAAGGCCUGAACCAGGUCGCGAGGGUCUGUCUCCCGUCUGGGGAGCUGAACUGCCCGAGACACUGUCGCAGUCGCGGGGACUUGUCUGGAGCGGCGGGGUCUGAGCCCAAGUCGGAAGCCGCCGCCGCCGCCAGCGUCCCGUGCGCCUGCCGCCCCGGGACCAGCCGCGAAACUUCUUCUCGGGACGGAGACAGCGCUCGCCGCCCGGGCCGAGGUGUCCUACGGGCCUGAUGGAAAGGUGGCAGGCGAAAUGCACCUGGCCUCAGCGUCAGGGGCUGUGAAUGCAGUAGCACUUGUAGCUAUGAGGUCAGAGUGGACUAGGAUGGUCCUUCCACCAAGAAGCCUGGGCCUUCCUGCUCUUCGUUGUCCAGCUGCAGAAACUGAUCUCAUCCCUCAGGGCUUGGCACAACUGCCCCUUCCUCCUCACAUUCCCAAAUAUACCUACCCCUCCCCAACUCAAUCCUCCUCACCAGACUGUGGCUCCAGGAUGACAGGGCAGAGUUGGACUCACCUGUGUCUGCCAGGCCAGCUCACCGUGGGGGCAGGUCCCAAGAGGCCUCUGGAUUUGGACCAACUUCCAGUGUGACCUUGAACAAGGCCUUCGCCUCCCUCAGCCUCCGUUGCAUGAGGGGUUGUGCUGGCACAUCUCAGAGCAGGUAGCGCUACCUGGUGAGUUGAGGGCUCUGUCCAUCAUCUUUGUCACUGUAAUGCUGGGUAACAAAUAAACACGAAACAAUGAGU
rnacentral:lncRNA from 1 species